rnacentral:rRNA from 1 species
UGGGGACUUUUCCGCAAUGGGGGGAACCCUGACGGAGCAACGCCGCGUGCGGGAGGACGGCCUGUGGGUUGUAAACCGCUUUUCUCUAGGAAGAAGGUCUGACGGUACUCGAGGAAUCAGCAUCUGCUAACACCGUGCCAGCAGCCGCGGUAAGACGGAGGAUGCAGGCGUUAUCCGGAAUUAUUGGGCGUAAAGCGUCCGUAGGCGGUUCAUCAAGUCAGUUCUUAAAGACUGCAGCUCAACUGUGGGCGAGCAACUGAAACUGAUGAACUAGAGUGCGGUAGGGGUAGAGGGAAUUCCCAGUGUAGCGGUGAAAUGCGUAGAUAUUGGGAAGAACACCAGUGGCGAAGGCGCUCUACUGGGCCGCAACUGACGCUGAGGGACGAAAGCGAGGGGAGCGAAAGGGAUUAGAUACCCCCGUAGUCC